rnacentral:rRNA from 1 species
UAAUUGAAGAGUUUGAUCAUGGCUCAGAUUGAACGCUGGCGGCAGGCCUAACACAUGCAAGUCGAGCGGGGUUUUCGGACCUAGCGGCGGACGGGUGAGUAAUGUAUAGGGAGCUGCCCGAUAGAGGGGGAUACCAGUU